rnacentral:lncRNA from 1 species
AUAGAUGAGUACGUAGCUAGAGUUCCCUACACCAAAAAACUACAUCUGCAAGACCGAUUCAGUUGCUGGCAUUUGGUUAGUCAUGAGAAACGAUGAGAAAAUAAUUGCGCCUGUUGCAAUCUCAUUGAAAAAACCUCCAAACGGCCCAUCUUGGUCUGCAUCGUCGACAGAAAAUUUGAGCUGGUAUUGUGCUCCUGGAAAUAAGAUGAUAAUCAUGUGGUAAAAUCAAUAUAUACGUGGUAGUAAUUAACAACGUCUCAUUGUAGCACUAGUAAUUUCGAGCUGGUUGCUAAAAGGGUGCAUAUUUCUCAAGGCUACGGCACACCAUGCGCGCAAACAGGGCAAAAUCAAUAUAUACAGUAUAUCCCUCAAGCUACAACAAGCAUACCAUGUGCACAGAUAUUGUACACCAUGUGCAUAUCUCUCAAGCUACAACUAUAAGGAAUUUCGAGCUGCUUACUUGGCCAAACAAAAGAUCAAGAGAACAGUGAAUUUCGAGCUAUAGCUAGAAGAAACUACAGCUACGAGGAGUCCCCAGCAGUGCAAUUUUAUAAAAGAUCAAAACUGUACAGAGCUAUUUACAAGAGAAAAACUACUAAUAAACCAGGCUAACUUACCUACCGGCUAAACAAAUACAAUAAGUACAGCAGCUUGAACAAUAGAUUCAGCUAUCUAGCCAUUGAACAAUAGAUCCAGCUACAGUGGGUUUAACAAAUGAUGACAUCAUCUCUUUGACUGUCAGAUUCUCAGUGUGUUCAAUACAUUAUCAUAUAAUAAUUUUUUGUCAUGCCAACCAUCAACAAGAUCUGACAAUUUCAGUUAUAACGAAAAUACUAUAAACAUGAAAUGGACUACAUGUAUAUACACAACAGCACACACAAUUUGAUCGUUUCUGGGCAUCUCAUAUAUGCAUGUUGCAUGCUUUCAGAAAGGAAGCCAGACAUUCAAAGUUCUAUUAAAACAUUUGGUUCAUUUUAGAAGAGAUGGCUGCAUCCAUGGCCAUUUAGGAGUAUGACAGAGAUGUACAAAGUAGGCUUCUUCCAUGCACAUGUGUGAGUCUAACUACAUGAUUAUAAAUCUGCACUUGAUGAGUCUCAAGAGAAUCGUUUUCAACAAAAUUAAAAUCCCAGUGGCUUUAUUUCUAAUUUUUACAAUGAACAUACACAGAAAUACCAUGGAAUAAAAAAGAGAGAGUUAGCUAUGCAAUGUAGUCACAUAAAUCCAAGGCAUAAGCAUAACAUAAAACUAAUUUUCCUACCUCUAAAACAUGUGGCUCAACUGUACACCCCCUCCAGUCCAGAGCUUCCUACCAUGAACAAUAUGAUGAAGCCCUAACUUGAUAGCAUGCAGAGAAAGAUCGCUGCUGCAUACAGGAUAUUGUACUAAUAAAAAGAUAAAUUACCCUAGAGUGUAUUAAUUUAACUUUGAUCAGAAUAUCAAGACUGCUCUACUGAGUAACAGAGAAGUGAAUGGAUUACUCAGUGACAAUACCUCAUAUACUUGUCUGCGGUCAUGAAGUAGAUGUUGUGGCUCCAAUUCGUCCACUAAAAAUGUUCUGGCCGUACAAAACAAAAUCAGCGUUACCGAUAGCACGUUAACUGAAGAACAUGAACAAACUUUUUUUUUGAUAGGAGAACAUGAACAAACUAACCUCAAGAAUUUACUUGAGAAGGUAACAUGUGCCCACUUCAGAAAGAAAAAAAGGUUCUACUGCUGGUUAUUAGUGGCAAAAGUAUUCCUGUGAGUACACGAAUAACUAAAAGUAUCACUUUCUCAAAGCUUUCCAAAUAUGUAGUUCUACUUUGGUAAAUUAGUGGCAAAAGUAUGCCUGUGAGUACACGAAUAACUGAAAGUACCACUUUCUCAAAGCUUUCUUUUGAUCAUCUCAUUCACUGAAGGUUGUAAUGACCGGUAAUCUGGUAUCCACAGGGAACAGUAAUAUAACUAGUGUUUAUUUUAACUGACUAUAUCUAGAUACAUAUAGAAACAUUAAUAAGACCUUAGAAAUUUGGUUGUCAUUCAGAAUCUGCAAAACAAGAGAUGGGCUUUGCAAAUAGCUAUUUCUUUGGUUCAAUUUCAGAUUGAGAAAGAUGACUACAUGCAUGAUUUGGACAUCCAAGUGUAGAUUGACAAGGCCGAGAUCGUAACUCCUAUGCAAUCAAACAAAUGAUUCAGAAAUUAAAAUUGAUACCAAUCUAAAAAAAACUACAUAUUUGGAACUGGGCUCCUAUACACAAACAAACACAAUGUGAAGACAUUAUUUCUGAAGACAAUGUCCAUCUUGCAAGUUGAAGUAACACACAAAGUUCUACAGAAGUCAACUUCAUGUUCUCCUUUUCUGUAAUCUGCCAUAGCCCACCAUAUGAAAACUGAAAUUCCAGAGCAAUCUUCAAGUAUCUAUACCGUGGAAAUAGUUACUCACUCCGAUCCAUAAAAAGUGUCGUCCACUUAGUACAAAGUUUGUACUAACUUAGUACAAAAUGAGCGACACUUUUUAUGGAUCGGAGGGAGUACUAAGUUGUAGUGAAGAAAAAGAAGGGAAGAAAAUAACUGAAUUAGGGUCUGCACUCUGCCAUAAUUCUUGAAUUCAGGGGCGCAUUGAGGAGGAGGAGGAAGCGGGUACAGUAAAAAGAAGGAAGGGAGGAAAAUAACUGAAUUAGAGCCCACACUUUACCAUUAUUCUUGAAUUCAGGGGUGUAGUGAGGAGGAGGAGGAAGGGGGCACAUAUAGUUACCUUCAGGAGUUGUAGGCCGGAUGGAUGGUCCAUGAGGCCGAGGCGAUGGGCCAGGGGAAGUAGCUGGUGGCAGAGGGAGCCCACGAGAGGGGCGCAGGGGGUCGAUGGGGUCGUACUGGCGGCGCGCGACGGCGAGACCCGGAAAAUUCAUCAGAAAACUAAACCCUAGAACAUCUAGCACAGCACAUAGUGAGACCUAGAUUGAUAUAUAUAUAUAUAUAGCGAGAGAGAGAGAGAGAAGAUUGAGAGGGAAAGAGGAUGAACCAGAAGGGGAUGGUGACCACAGGGAGUCACCAUGAGAAGAAGAUGGACCCCGUCGCUGCCAUGGUUCCAAGCACGGUGACCGCGACCGCAUCCUUGCGGGCUGCGGUCCUCGAAGGAAAGGCACUGGCGGCGCUGGGCAGGGCGGCACAGGUACAGCGAGGCGGCGCCGGUACGGCGGGGAGGAGCAGAUCGGCGCGAA